rnacentral:rRNA from 1 species
AUGAACGCUGGCGGCGUGCCUAAUACAUGCAAGUCGAGCGCACAGACGAGGAGCUUGCUCCUCUGACGUUAGCGGCGGACGGGUGAGUAACACGUGGAUAACCUACCUAUAAGACUGGGAUAACUUCGGGAAACCGGAGCUAAUACCGGAUAAUAUAUUGAACCGCAUGGUUCAAUAGUGAAAGACGGUUUUGCUGUCACUUAUAGAUGGAUCCGCGCCGCAUUAGCUAGUUGGUAAGGUAACGGCUUACCAAGGCAACGAUGCGUAGCCGAUCUGAGAGGGUGAUCGGCCACACUGGAACUGAGACACGGUCCAGACUCCUACGGGAGGCAGCAGUAGGGAAUCUUCCGCAAUGGGCGAAAGCCUGACGGAGCAACGCCGCGUGAGUGAUGAAGGUCUUCGGAUCGUAAAACUCUGUUAUUAGGGAAGAACAAAUGUGUAAGUAACUAUGCACGUCUUGACGGUACCUAAUCAGAAAGCCACGGCUAACUACGUG